GGAGGAUGUAUAGCGAAAGCUAAUUGUAUUAACCAAAAGUUAAUAUAAUACCGACUACGUCGGCUAAAAUUCUAGGUAGAAUAAUGAUAAUGACAUUUUCUACCCAUAUGUCUUGACCAAAUCACGUGCCAGCAGUCGCGGAAAUACGUGGAAGACAAGUGUUAUUCAUCUUUAAUUGGUUUAAAGGGUACGUAGACGGUAUAUACAGCCCGCAAAGGGUACUUAUAAACUAGAGUUUUAUGUGAGGGGGGGAGUACUGGUGGAGUAGAGAUGAAAUUCUGUCAUACCAUGAGAAGCGACAGGCAGCGGCGAAAGCAACCCUUUAUGCAAAAACUGACGUUGAAGGACGAAGGCCCUGGUCACCAAAAGGAUUAGGUACCCCAGCAGUCUGGGCAGACAACGCUGAAUGUCAUAGAUUAGAUUAAGUUUCUUCUAUAAACGAAAGUGUAAGCAUUCCACCUCAAGAGUAAUUUGGCAACAUUGAAACUGAAAUCAUUAGACCGUUUCUGAAACCAGUAGUGAAGUAUGUUGUUUAAUUCGUUAACCCUCGAAAAACCUUACCACAACUUGAAUAUUUUUAUAGUUAUAAUUAUACAAGCGUUGCACGGCUGUCUUCAGUUAAUGUCGUGAGAUCUUGGUUAGUUCCAUUAAAUUAACGUAAACCCUUACUUUUUUUAUAUAUAAAGUAGUUCACCGCUAUAUUGGAUAUGAUAACAGGGAUUAAGACAAGUCAUCAUGGCCUGAAUAUUGU
rnacentral:rRNA from 1 species